CCGCCCAACAGGGCUGGAUCGCGGCUGAGGUGGGCUCGGCCUCCGUCCCGAGGCACCGGAGCACCGAGCACUGGAGCACUAGAGCACGGAGUACAGACCACUGGAGUACCGGAGCACCGAGCACCCGACCCCCGGAGUACCGGACCUCAGAGUACCGAGCACUGGAGCACCAGAGCAUGGAGUACCGAGCACUGGAGUACUGGAGCACCGAGCACCCGAGCCCUGGAGCACCGGAGCUCGGAGUACCGAGCACUGGAGGACCAAAGGACGGAGUACCGAGCACUGGAGUACCGGAGCAUCGGGCACCCGAGCCCUGGAGCACUGAGCACUGGAGCAGCAGAACACGGUGUGCCGAGCACUAGAGUACCGGAGCACCAAGCACCCGAGCCCUGGAGUACCAUUGCACGGAGUACCGAGCACAGGAGCACCAGAACAGGGAAGCCCUGCCAGAGGAGACUGUCCCCGCUGAGCCCCGGCUCCCGGCCGCAUGUGGUCCAGGUGGCCCUCAGGUGUAGAUACACUUAAUGAAACAAAUGAAAGAAGAACAAGAAAUGGCCAGGAUGACAGAAUCUAGAAGAAACCGAGAGAUUGCACAGCUUAAAAAAAGACCAACGGAAACAAGACCAUCAACUCAGGCUUUGGAAGCUCAGAAAAGAAAUCAAGAAGUGCUUCUUUGACAUAAGAGCAAAGAGGUAUGGGAACAGAACUUCCAGUUAAUUCCAGGAAAGCUGUGUGACUUUGGAGAGAAAUAGAAUGAUUUCAGAGAGAAGGCAAAUGAUGUAUUUUCCACACUGUUUCAAGUAACAGCUCUUCAGCAGCAAGUAAGGCCCAUGUCUGAUAAAGUAUCUGGGAAGGUUAGUCGAAAACUGAGUGACCCUGAUUCUCCUGCUCAAGACCUGAGUUCCACUGUAGCUGCCGGACUCCUCGAUUUGACUAAGGCUGGAUCCCCACAGAAAAUGAGAAUUCCUUUUGCAAGAGUGUAAGCAUUACCAGCAACUGCAGCCUAUGGAACCUGGUAAAAUGUUUCCAAGGUGAUGUGAGAGCAUUUUCAUGCGAGGAUUGUUCUCCAAUGAGCCACUCAAUUUGAAACAUUUGUUGUGUGGGUGAUCCAUUCUAUAAGAAUUUCAAAUAAAAAUGUUUGUCAUAAAAAUGUUCGCAGGAAGAAAUACCUGAAAACGGGAAUGACCGGUCGAGUGUUCACGUCAGAAACUGUCUGGAUGAAGUAGGGUCACAGAUGUCAUUAUGCAGAGAAUGACAGUUUCCAAUAUGGAGAGUGAUAUGAACAGUCUUCUAAAGGGAAAUAGCAAUGUGCAGAACUCACAAAAAGAAGAGAGAAACUUUCAAAAAGAAGAGAAUGAGCCAUCAAAAAGAAUGGAUAUGUGGAUAAAAAUAAGGAAAUGGAAUCACUAACUGCAAACGUCGAUCACAUCAAUGGUAGUAUUACAGAUUGUCAAGCCAGUAUCAUGCAGAUGGCAGAGCAAAGGUUAGUUACAUAUUAAAUGUGAAGUGAUAAUUUGAAAGAAAACUCUGUGAACCUUUCACAUGUAAUAAUAUUCUGUUCUAAGGUAGAGUUAAGUGUGACAUCUAUUAGCAGCGAAGGAUACACACAGUCUGUUUAAUGUUACAUCUAUAUAAAAAUAUUACACCCACUUUGCUUGUAAGUGGCAAAGUUGAUAUUCUUUGUCGAGUUAUUUCCCAGUAUAUGAUUUUAAUAGAAAUGUGAAUUGCAAUGAAAGCUUUGCCUAAAAGAAAAAGUCCCAAUAUGAUUCACUUACUACUUUGGCAUGUAGCACUUAUUAAAUAUUCAUUUGAUUUAUUUUAAAAUAUUGCUUCUUGCAGCUUGAAAGGAAGACUAGAGGAACCCUUUCUUUGAUUAAAGUAUAGUUGAGUCGCUCUUACUCUAGUUACAAUAUUAACAGGCAAGUGCCCUUGAAAUAACGUCUUAAUUUUCACCCUUCAAUUUCAUUCACCUGAAUCAUGACCAUAUUGUGUGUUUCACAGGAAGAAGGCUAGACCUUCAAUAUCACUGCAGUGAUCAGUGCUUGCACUUUCCCUUGCACUUUAACUCUGCACUUGCUCAUUUUCUCCUAUCUCGUUAUCUCUUUUCUUAUCAAUGGUCAUCAAUAAGAUAGGGGGCACAUUUGAUUCAGUAUGUACUGUUGAUUGGAAAGGGUGUGUUGGGGGGGUGGGGCGGCGGUGAAUGUGAUUUUUUUUAUUCUUUUUUUCUUUUGGAAAGCACCACAGAAUGCAGUUUACAAAUUUGGUAUGUAUGCUGUCUCUAUCGGAACCCUCCAAUCUAUUCGAGCCUUUCCUAAAACUUGCCAACUGGUCAUUUCUGCAUUAGAUAUUUUUUUCUUCAUCCUUAGAAUGCACUUCAAACUGAUGGGAUAGGCUUCUUUAGCUAGAUAAGCAGCAAAGCCAAGUCUAAAGCCACGUUCUGUUCCUCAUUUCACUUUUGUACUCAUUUGAACUUAACUGAGGAAUUAUGGGAGAAAGUCACCCUGAUCCCCGGAUGUGAUCUUUUUGCCAAGGAAUAAACAAUAAAUUACAAUAAAUAAAUUAC